GAUGAACGCUGGCGGCGUGCCUAAUACAUGCAAGUCGAGCGAACGGACGAUAAGCUUGCGGCGCUGAUGUUAGGGGCGGACGGGUGAGUAACACGUGGAUAACCUACCUAUAAGACUGGGAUAACUUCGGGAAACCGGAGCUAAUACCGGAUAAGAUUUUGAACCGCAUGGGUCAAAAGUGAAAUACGGUCUUGCUGGCACGUAUAGAUGGAUCCGCGCUGCAUUAGCGAGUUGGUAAGGUAACGGCUUACGAAGGCAACGAUGCAUAGCCGCCCUGAGAGGGUGGUGGAGCACACCGGAACUGAGGACCGGUCAAGACUCCUCCGGGAGACGGCAGUCGGGUAUGUUCCGCAGUAGUCGAGAGUAUGACAGAGCAACCGCGAGUGAGUGGUGGCGGUCUUGCGAUCGUAAAACUCUGUUACUAGGGAAAAACAUAUGUCUCCGUAACUGUGCACAUCUUGACGGUACCUAAUCAGAAAGCCCCGGCUAACUACGUG
rnacentral:rRNA from 1 species